rnacentral:rRNA from 1 species
UACGAAGGGGGCUAGCGUUGCUCGGAAUUACUGGGCGUAAAGCGCGCGCAGGCGGCUAUCCAAGUCAGUGGUGAAAGCCCGGAGCUUAACUCCGGAACUGCCAUUGAAACUGUUUAGCUUGAGGACGAGAGAGGUGAGUGGAAUUCCCAGUGUAGAGGUGAAAUUCGUAGAUAUUGGGAAGAACACCGGUGGCGAAGGCGGCUCACUGGCUCAUUACUGACGCUCAGGCGCGAUAGCGUGGGGAUCAAACAGG